GGGUUGUGAGGUUAAGCGACUAAGCGUACACGGUGGAUGCCCUGGCAGUCAGAGGCGAUGAAGGACGUGCUAAUCUGCGAUAAGCGUCGGUAAGGUGAUAUGAACCGUUAUAACCGGCGAUUUCCGAAUGGGGAAACCCAGUGUGUUUCGACACACUAUCAUUAACUGAAUCCAUAGGUUAAUGAGGCGAACCGGGGGAACUGAAACAUCUAAGUACCCCGAGGAAAAGAAAUCAACCGAGAUUCCCCCAGUAGCGGCGAGCGAACGGGGAGCAGCCCAGAGCCUGAAUCAGUGUGUGUGUUAGUGGAAGCGUCUGGAAAGGCGUGCGAUACAGGGUGACAGCCCCGUACACAAAAAUGCACAUAUUGUGAGCUCGAUGAGUAGGGCGGGACACGUGGUAUCCUGUCUGAAUAUGGGGGGACCAUCCUCCAAGGCUAAAUACUCCUGACUGACCGAUAGUGAACCAGUACCGUGAGGGAAAGGCGAAAAGAACCCCGGCGAGGGGAGUGAAAAAGAACCUGAAACCGUGUACGUACAAGCAGUGGGAGCACGCUUAGGCGUGUGACUGCGUACCUUUUGUAUAAUGGGUCAGCGACUUAUAUUCUGUAGCAAGGUUAACCGAAUAGGGGAGCCGAAGGGAAACCGAGUCUUAACUGGGCGUUAAGUUGCAGGGUAUAGACCCGAAACCCGGUGAUCUAGCCAUGGGCAGGUUGAAGGUUGGGUAACACUAACUGGAGGACCGAACCGACUAAUGUUGAAAAAUUAGCGGAUGACUUGUGGCUGGGGGUGAAAGGCCAAUCAAACCGGGAGAUAGCUGGUUCUCCCCGAAAGCUAUUUAGGUAGCGCCUCGUGAAUUCAUCUCCGGGGGUAGAGCACUGUUUCGGCAAGGGGGUCAUCCCGACUUACCAACCCGAUGCAAACUGCGAAUACCGGAGAAUGUUAUCACGGGAGACACACGGCGGGUGCUAACGUCCGUCGUGAAGAGGGAAACAACCCAGACCGCCAGCUAAGGUCCCAAAGUCAUGGUUAAGUGGGAAACGAUGUGGGAAGGCCCAGACAGCCAGGAUGUUGGCUUAGAAGCAGCCAUCAUUUAAAGAAAGCGUAAUAGCUCACUGGUCGAGUCGGCCUGCGCGGAAGAUGUAACGGGGCUAAACCAUGCACCGAAGCUGCGGCAGCGACGCUGAUGCGUUGUUGGGUAGGGGAGCGUUCUGUAAGCCUGCGAAGGUGUGCUGUGAGGCAUGCUGGAGGUAUCAGAAGUGCGAAUGCUGACAUAAGUAACGAUAAAGCGGGUGAAAAGCCCGCUCGCCGGAAGACCAAGGGUUCCUGUCCAACGUUAAUCGGGGCAGGGUGAGUCGACCCCUAAGGCGAGGCCGAAAGGCGUAGUCGAUGGGAAACAGGUUAAUAUUCCUGUACUUGGUGUUACUGCGAAGGGGGGACGGAGAAGGCUAUGUUGGCCGGGCGACGGUUGUCCCGGUUUAAGCGUGUAGGCUGGUUUUCCAGGCAAAUCCGGAAAAUCAAGGCUGAGGCGUGAUGACGAGGCACUACGGUGCUGAAGCAACAAAUGCCCUGCUUCCAGGAAAAGCCUCUAAGCAUCAGGUAACAUCAAAUCGUACCCCAAACCGACACAGGUGGUCAGGUAGAGAAUACCAAGGCGCUUGAGAGAACUCGGGUGAAGGAACUAGGCAAAAUGGUGCCGUAACUUCGGGAGAAGGCACGCUGAUAUGUAGGUGAAGUCCCUCGCGGAUGGAGCUGAAAUCAGUCGAAGAUACCAGCUGGCUGCAACUGUUUAUUAAAAACACAGCACUGUGCAAACACGAAAGUGGACGUAUACGGUGUGACGCCUGCCCGGUGCCGGAAGGUUAAUUGAUGGGGUCAGCGCAAGCGAAGCUCUUGAUCGAAGCCCCGGUAAACGGCGGCCGUAACUAUAACGGUCCUAAGGUAGCGAAAUUCCUUGUCGGGUAAGUUCCGACCUGCACGAAUGGCGUAAUGAUGGCCAGGCUGUCUCCACCCGAGACUCAGUGAAAUUGAACUCGCUGUGAAGAUGCAGUGUACCCGCGGCAAGACGGAAAGACCCCGUGAACCUUUACUAUAGCUUGACACUGAACAUUGAGCCUUGAUGUGUAGGAUAGGUGGGAGGCUUUGAAGUGUGGACGCCAGUCUGCAUGGAGCCGACCUUGAAAUACCACCCUUUAAUGUUUGAUGUUCUAAC
rnacentral:rRNA from 1 species